CUCUGACACACCCCACAACAGGUUUUUUAAAGCCCCAAGACCAAGAACUGCUUCUGUCUCAUCUUGGAAGAUCAGUGUCUGAGGUUGCUGAUUGGCUGGUGACAUCCUGGUUUGUGGGUCAGUACCAAUCAACACGGCAUCCCCUUGCCUCCUCGAGGCUUUGAAGUUCAGGCCCAGUGUUUCUGAUGCUGAUCGCUUGAAUCGGCGUCGUUGGAAGGUGGCAGGACCCUAGAGAGAAAUACCAGAGAGGGGAACCUGGAAGGUGGACUACAGUUGACGUGAGGUUUGCGGGAAAGAGAAAACUCACACAAAUUUGUGAGCCUGCGAUCCGUCCAUCCAGACUUAGCACAGAAGCAAUGGAUGUUUCUAGGCUCUGGCCAACAGGACUCAACCUCAGGCAGACUUUCCAGUCUUUGACCAUCAACCCACCGUUCAGCCACGGGGAGCCACCACAAAACCGUGGCCCUUUAUAGAGUCACAGAAAGCAGAGCUGGAUGGCGCUGGGAGGCCAUCUGGUUAAGUGAGGAAGCUGCGUAAGACCCUGGGCAGGUGCGUUCAUCCAUCCGGAACGUGUCACUGGGCACCUUCUUGUCCUGGCAUGGCGCUUUUUGCCAGGUAUACGGCCGUUACUGAACGGGCUAUAGGCAGGUAUGGAACAAAACAUUAUUUCUCUUGACCCUUGGUCCUUUGCUUUUUCACACCUCAUAGGAAAGUCGGUGAGCCCUGUGUCAGGGUUCUAUCUUAGGUGUUUCAUGAAAAUAAUUUAAUGAGACUCUCAGGACAGGACAACCACUUUUGCCUAUUAUGCAUGGAAAGAUAGCAGGACAGGAAAGAGAAAGGUUUUUUUUUUUUUUUUUUCUGUAAUGUUUAUUUUCGAGAGAGAGAGGGAGCCAGAGCAUGAGCAGGGGAGGGGCAGAGAGAGACGGAGACACAGAAUCUGAAGCAGGCUCCAGGCUCCGAGCUGUCAGUACAGAGCCCGACGCGGGGCUUGAACUCAUGAGCCAUGAGAUCAUGACCUGAGCUGAAGUUGGGCGCUUAACUGAGUGCGCCACCCAGGCGCCCCAAGAAGGUUUUAAAAGAGCUAAGGAUUUCAUUCUUUUUAAUGGCUGAAUAAUAUUCCAUUGUGUAUAUAUACCACGACUGGAAUUUAAAAAAUAAUAAAAAUGAAAAAAUGAAACUAGAUUUACUUAUU
rnacentral:lncRNA from 1 species